ACUUGCUUAUUUUCUCCUCUUUUCCAAGAUUAGAAGAUCUUCCAUACCUCUUCUCCUCCUUUUUCUUCUCCUUUCAAUUUUCAGAAAAUCCGGCCAUCACUUCGUUUGCUAUUCUCUCUCUUUUUUUUUUCUUCGUCUACCUUCAUUGGCGAGAUUUCCUCCAUGCCACAAAUUUCAGUCAAAGAUAAAGAAAAGGUAAGAUUUAUAAAAUCUUUUCUCACCUUCUCCUUGUUGGCCUCAUAAAUGUCUUUGAUUUCAGUUUAAAUCCGAAUUUUUGAAUCCUGAUUUGCCUAUAAAUAACAAGUUUUUCACCUCCAGAGGGGAAUCGGAAAAAGUCUUCACAUUCGAAGACACAUACACACAUAUUCACGAACCUACUAGUUUUACUAUUUUCUUUUUGGUCUUCUCUGAUUUUUGAGUUUUGAGUUUCUCGGCGAAAUCUUUGAGACGUCAAAGCCCUUGUUUGCUUCUCCACACAAGGGACAUACCAGGGGAGUAUUAGAAAAGCAAAUGGAGUAGUGGAUGUCCAUUUCAUGGACCCAUUAAAAGAAAAUUGGCAAGUUGAGUCACUUGUCAUCUUUCCUUAUAAAAUGACCAUUCUUGUCCAUUCUUGUACCUGCAGAAACAGGCAACAUAGAUACAGAAAAAUUACUACACGACUUUCUCUCUUUUCUGUUUUCCUUUCUUUUCUUUUUCUCUUAGUUUCUUCUCCUUAUUUUGCCAAAUUAAUUUAUUUCAUAACAUGUAAUUAAUUCUCUGUUCUAACCAAAAAGAAAAAAAAGAAGCAGCAUAUCCAAUCCGUUAGGGUCGAGGAGGUUCAUUUGUGUAUAUUUCGCAAAUGUUGAAUUCCUUUAAUUUUUCUUCAUAUUUUAAAUUAUGUUAGUAAAAA